CUGCCCAUAGCUCAGUUGGAUAGAGCAACGGCCUUCUAAGCCGUAGGUCGCAGGUUCGACUCCUGCUGGGCAGGCCA
rnacentral:tRNA from 4 species